rnacentral:lncRNA from 1 species
CCUCCGUGGACCUGGGACCUGCAGGUACUGGAAGGUCCCUUGGGAAGAUGUCGGGACAGCACAGAAGACAACCACGGGGCGAUGGUCACUGUUGUUCUUGCUGCUCCUCUGAGUUCUGGUCUCAUUUAUCCAACAGACAUCUUGACAUCUCCACCUGGAUGUUUUGAAGCAAGGGCGGCCACCCCUGCCUAUCUCCUCCAGUGUCACCUCUGACAACUGCAGUGGUACCCGACCCAGCUCCCUGUGCAGACCAGGGCACCGCCCACAUUCACGUUUUACGACAGGAGCCAGAGUGAGCUUUUCCAACUGCAGAUCUGAUUGAUUUCAUUCUAGUUUCACUCUCAGUAAUCAAUGC